GCGGAGGUGGCGGAACGGCAGACGCGCACGGUUCAGGUCCGUGUGAGGUAACACUCUUGAGGGUUCAAAUCCCUUUCUCCGCAUCA
rnacentral:tRNA from 1 species